CCGCCCGUCACACCAUGGGAGUCGAUUGCUCCAGAAGUGCCUGAGCCAACCGCAAGGAGGCAGAGCCCCAAGGAGUGAUCGGUAACUGGGGUG
rnacentral:rRNA from 1 species